rnacentral:rRNA from 1 species
CACAUUACUAAUUCUUCGGAAGAAGUAAAGUGAUGGAAAGCGGCGGACGGGUGAGUAACGCGUAGGCAACCUGCCUCUCACAGGGGGAUAGCCAUCGGAAACGGUGAUUAAUACCCCAUAAAGUCAAAAUAACACAUGUUAAACUGACCAAAGAUUUAUCGGUGAGAGAUGGGCCUGCGUCUGAUUAACUAGUUGGUGAGGUAACGGCUCACCAAGGUGACGAUCAGUAGCCGACCUGAGAGGGUGAACGGCCACAUUGGAACUGAGACACGGUCCAAACUUCUACGGAAGGCAGCAGUAGGGAAUCUUGCACAAUGGGCGAAAGCCUGAUGCAGCAACGCCGCGUGAAGGAAGAAGGCCUUAGGGUCGUAAACUUCUGUUCUUGGGGAAGAAGAAAGUGGCGGUACCCAAGGAGGAAGCCCCGGCUAACUACGUGCCAGCAGCCGCGGUAAUACGUAGGGGGCAAGCGUUAUCCGGAAUUAUUGGGCGUAAAGCGUGCGUAGGUGGUAAUUUAAGCGCAAGGUUUAAACUAACGGCUCAACCGUUAAUUGCCAUGCGAACUGGGUUACUUGAGUGCUGGAGGGGAAAGCGGAAUUCCUAGUGUAGCGGUGAAAUGCGUAGAUAUUAGGAGGAACACCGGCGGCGAAGGCGGCUUUCUGGACAGCAACUGACACUGAGGCACGAAAGUGUGGGUAGCAAACAGGAUUAGAUACCCUGGUAGUCCACACCGUAAACGAUGAGCACUAGGUGUCGGGGUCGAUAGACUUCGGUGCCGCAGUUAACGCACUAAGUGCUCCGCCUGGGGAGUACGGUCGCAAGACUAAAACUCAAAGGAAUUGACGGGGACCCGCACAAGCAGCGGAGCAUGUGGUUUAAUUCGAAGCAACGCGAAGAACCUUACCAGGACUUGACAUCCCUCUGACAGGAACUUAAUCGUUUUUUUCUACGGACAGAGGAGACAGGUGGUGCAUGGUUGUCGUCAGCUCGUGUCGUGAGAUGUUGGGUUAAGUCCCGCAACGAGCGCAACCCUUGUUGUCAGUUACUAACAUUAAGUUGAGGACUCUGACGAGACUGCCGAGGUUAAC